rnacentral:ribozyme from 13 species
AAAACAGCCAAAAGAGAAACAAACAAAAUCUUUUCCAACUCAAGACGAUCCUCCAAAUCUAUUCUGGGUCUGUCUUCUUCUUGUUUCUCUCUUCCUUUUCCUUUCUUCUUCUCUCCUUUAGCAGAUCCUCUGUAUCUUCGGAAGAUUUGGAAGAGGUCAAGAAGUUCAGGAAUAUUGGAAACAUAAGUCUCAGGAUCCUCCAAAAGCAAAGAAGCAAAUCCAGCAAUCAUUUCUUUU